rnacentral:rRNA from 1 species
CUGGCUCAGGAUGAACGCUGGCGGCGUGCUUAACACAUGCAAGUCGAGCGAAGCGAUUCAAAUGAAGUUUUCGGAUGGAUUUUGAAUUGACUUAGCGGCGGACGGGUGAGUAACGCGUGGGUAACCUGCCUCAUACAGGGGGAUAACAGUCGGAAACGACUGCUAAUACCGCAUAAGCACACAGUGCCGCAUGGUACAGUGUGAAAAACUCCGGUGGUAUGAGAUGGACCCGCGUCUGAUUAGGUAGUUGGUGAGGUAACGGCCCACCAAGCCGACGAUCAGUAGCCGACCUGAGAGGGUGACCGGCCACAUUGGGACUGAGACACGGCCCAAACUCCUACGGGAGGCAGCAGUGGGGAAUAUUGGACAAUGGGGGAAACCCUGAUCCAGCGACGCCGCGUGAGUGAAGAAGUAUUUCGGUAUGUAAAGCUCUAUCAGCAGGGAAGAAAAUGACGGUACCUGACUAAGAAGCCCCGGCUAACUACGUGCCAGCAGCCGCGGUAAUACGUAGGGGGCAAGCGUUAUCCGGAUUUACUGGGUGUAAAGGGAGCGUAGACGGCACUGCAAGUCUGGAGUGAAAGCCCGGGGCUCAACCCCGGGACUGCUUUGGAAACUGUGGUGCUAGAGUGCAGGAGAGGUAAGUGGAAUUCCUAGUGUAGCGGUGAAAUGCGUAGAUAUUAGGAGGAACACCAGUGGCGAAGGCGGCUUACUGGACUGUAACUG